GGCCCCAUAGUGUAAUGGUUGAAACAUCUGCCUAACAAGCAGAAGAUCCUGGUUUUGAUUCCAAGAGAAGCCG
rnacentral:tRNA from 1 species